AUGCUGAGACCCAAAAGGGGCCAUGGAGUAGCCCCUUUCCAGAGACAGCUAGCAAAAACACACAUCUCUUCUGGCUUUUAUGCGAUAGGCACAAGCAGAAAGGAGGGAAUCUUCUUCCCGUUUCUGCUGGAUCUCAGUAUGUCUCUUUCAUGCUCUGGCAGUCAAAGUUUCAGGCUUUCUCCCCCUUCUGUCUCUGGGGAAAAUUUUCCAGGCUUCAAUUUUUCCAUACCAUAUGCCUUGUAAAAAGAAUUUUUAAAAAAUUAGUUGUUUGUGUCCAGGGAUACAUGCACACAUCCACUAAGAUGCAUACAUAUGUACUUAACUGAAAGAGACAGCAGUCAUAUAUACUUUUGACAGUACUUUGACAUUCAUGUAAGCAAAAGGUACAGGGAAAAAGAUUUCUGGCCCACCAGUCUCACUUUUGUUACUGAAACGAAGCAUGUAAGGGAUUGUUCUGGAAAAGAACUUCUGUAACUCAUGACCUAAGCCUACCAUUACAAAGCCUAGGACUGCACCUCCCAUAAGAGAUAAAGAUUAAAAUGACAUGGAGUAGGCACUGGUAGGUUACCCAAAAAGUACUCGGCCUCACUGCUUAUUUCUAAUUAAAACAAGUGUUUCUAAUUAAACACUACACCACUAGGCUCCAUUUAGAUCCACGGUACAGAAAUUGCAUUCCUAAAAGCAACAUGGGGGGAUAUAGAAUAUUUAACUUCCAAAAUAAGUCAAUAAAUACUUGUUGAGUAACUAUGUAUAUGAUAGGAACUGUGCUAGGUGCCAAGGAGAUGACUUGAGUAAGAUAGACACUGCCCUAGGUUUCUUGUCGCUUCCAGGCCAGUGGGGAACUGGUAUUUCCCAAUGAUGGAUGGUACUAUGCUUAGAAAACUAAGACCCCAGAGAUUGGAAGCAAGGCCUCACGGGGACGAAAUUUCACAAACCCAAUGUCUGUGCACAAGAUUGAUUUCAGUUAGAAAAUGGAGCAGGUAGAAGAGAGAUUGACAAAAGUCUAAUAGAUUCAGGACAAUGACUCAGUGAAUGUCCAAGAAGCUGAUACCCUAGUGUGGUACUGCUGAAAACUACUGAGGGUGUCAGUCGGUGGGCACACAAUUAGCCUUUUCAAGUAAUUCAUUCUCCAAUGAGCCUUUUGAUAAAGACUUGGAAUUGUCUGUAAUAUCCAUUGAGUAUCUACUUAACCACUACUUCUUGCAACUUGUGUCAUUCUAAGUAGAAAUCCACCUACAUAAUAUUUUGUUUCUUCUUGGGAUAAUUAGAAAAACAUUCCUGGUUAUGAAGGUGAAAUAUCAAAGAGCAGAUAAAACUGGGCUACUCUGGCCAGAGGAGGGG
rnacentral:lncRNA from 1 species